GUUCCUACGGGACGCAGCAGUGGGGAAUAUUGGGCAAUGGGCGCAAGCCUGACCCAGCAACGCCGCGUGAAGGAAGAAGGCUUUCGGGUUGUAAACUUCUUUUCUUGGGGACGAAGAAAAUGACGGUACCCAAGGAAUAAGCCACGGCUAACUACGUGCCAGCAGCCGCGGUAAUACGUAGGUGGCAAGCGUUAUCCGGAUUUAUUGGGUGUAAAGGGCGUGUAGGCGGGAUUGCAAGUCAGAUGUGAAAACCACGGGCUCAACCUGUGGCCUGCAUUUGAAACUGUAGUUCUU
rnacentral:rRNA from 1 species